CCAGCUGGCCGGGCGGCCGCACGUGCAAGCGCCGAAAGGCCGCAUGUGAGGAAAGUCCGGGCUCCAUGGAACACGGUGCCGGAUAACGUCCGGCGGGGGCGACCCCAGGGACAGUGCCACAGAAAGCAAACCGCCAUCGCCUUCGGGUGAUGGCAAGGGUGAAAGGGUGGGGUAAGAGCCCACCGCGCGGCUGGCAACAGUCGUGGCAAGGCAAACCCCACCGGGAGCAAAACCGAAUAGGGACAGCGAGAGGGGAAACCCUUGGGGCUUGUUUCAGCCCGCUGUCCGGGUUGGUUGCGUGAGGUGCAUGGCAACGUGCCCCCAAGAUGAAUGGCCGCCACGUUCUGCUCGUGAGGGCGGGGCCAUACAAAACCCGGCUUACAGGCCAGCUGGCGCC
rnacentral:RNase_P_RNA from 1 species